AUUGAACGCUGGCGGCAUGCCUUACACAUGCAGGUCGAACGGUAACAGGUCUUCGGAUGCUGACGAGUGGCGAACGGGUGAGUAAUACAUCGGAACGUGCCUAGUAGUGGGGGAUAACUACUCGAAAGAGUGGCUAAUACCGCAUGAGAUCUACGGAUGAAAGCAGGGGAUCGCAGGACCUUGUGCUACUAGAGCGGCCGAUGGCAGAUUAGGUAGUUGGUGGGAUAAAAGCUUACCAAGCCGACGAUCUGUAGCUGGUCUGAGAGGACGAUCAGCCACACUGGGACUGAGACACGGCCCAGACUCCUACGGGAGGCAGCAGUGGGGAAUUUUGGACAAUGGGCGCAAGCCUGAUCCAGCAAUGCCGCGUGCAGGAUGAAGGCCUUCGGGUUGUAAACUGCUUUUGUACGGAACGAAAAGCCCUGGGUUAAUACCCUGGGGUCAUGACGGUACCGUAAGAAUAAGCACCGGCUAACUACGUGCCAGCAGCCGCAGUAACAC
rnacentral:rRNA from 1 species